AGUCAGCAUUAGGGUUUUAAACCCUAAACUGAACUUUUCCUUUCAGCCAGCAUUAGGGUUUUAAACCCUAAACUGAGCUUUUCCAUGCAGUCAGCAUUAGGGUUUUAAACCCUAAACUGAGCUUUUCCUUUUAGUCAGCAUUAGGGUUGGUUUUAAACCCUAAACUGAACUUUUUCCUUUCAGCCAGCAUUAGGGUUUUAAACCCUAAACUGAGCUUUUCCAUGCAAUCAGCAUUAGGGUUUUAAACCCUAAACUGAAUUUUCCUCCAGUCAGCAUUAGGGUUUUAAACCCUAAACGGAACCUUUUCCAUUCAGCCAGCAUU
rnacentral:lncRNA from 1 species